UACGGGGGGAGCAAGCGUUGUUCGGAUUUACUGGGCGUAAAGGGCGCGUAGGCGGUCGUGACAAGUCACUUGUGAAAUCUCCGGGCUUAACUCGGAACGGUCAAGUGAUACUGUCGGACUAGAGUACAGAAGGGGCAACUGGAAUUCUCGGUGUAGCGGUGAAAUGCGUAGAUAUCGAGAGGAACACCUGCGGCGAAGGCGGGUUGCUGGGCUGAUACUGACGCUGAGGCGCGAAAGCAUGGGGAUCAAACAGG
rnacentral:rRNA from 1 species